rnacentral:rRNA from 1 species
CAGGCUUAACACAUGCAAGUCGAGGGGCAGCGGGGGUAGCGAUACCCGCCGGCGACCGGCGCACGGGUGAGUAACGCGUAUGCAACUUGCCUAUCAGAGGGGGAUAACCCGGCGAAAGUCGGACUAAUACCGCAUGAAGCAGGGGCCCCGCAUGGGGGUAUUUGCUAAAGAUUCAUCGCUGAUAGAUAGGCAUGCGUUCCAUUAGGCAGUUGGCGGGGUAACGGCCCACCAAACCGACGAUGGAUAGGGGUUCUGAGAGGAAGGUCCCCCACAUUGGUACUGAGACACGGACCAAACUCCUACGGGAGGCAGCAGUGAGGAAUAUUGGUCAAUGGCCGAGAGGCUGAACCAGCCAAGUCGCGUGAGGGAUGAAGGUUCUAUGGAUCGUAAACCUCUUUUAUAAGGGAAUAAAGUGCGGGACGUGUCCCGCUUUGUAUGUACCUUAUGAAUAAGGAUCGGCUAACUCCGUGCCAGCAGCCGCGGCAAUACGGAGGAUCCGAGCGUUAUCCGGAUUUAUUGGGUUUAAAGGGUGCGUAGGCGGCCUUUUAAGUCAGCGGUGAAAGUCUGUGGCUCAACCAUAGAAUUGCCGUUGAAACUGGGGGGCUUGAGUAUGUUUGAGGCAGGCGGAAUGCGUGGUGUAGCGGUGAAAUGCUUAGAUAUCACGCAGAACCCCGAUUGCGAAGGCAGCCUGCCAAGCCAUGACUGACGCUGAUGCACGAAAGCGUGGGGAUCAAACAGGAUUAGAUACCCUGGUAGUCCACGCAGUAAACGAUGAUCACUAGCUGUUUGCGAUACAUUGUAAGCGGCACAGCGAAAGCGUUAAGUGAUCCACCUGGGGAGUACGCCGGCAACGGUGAAACUCAAAGGAAUUGACGGGGGCCCGCACAAGCGGAGGAACAUGUGGUUUAAUUCGAUGAUACGCGAGGAACCUUACCCGGGUUUGAACGCAUUCGGACCGAGGUGGAAACACCUUUUCUAGCAAUAGCCGUUUGCGAGGUGCUGCAUGGUUGUCGUCAGCUCGUGCCGUGAGGUGUCGGCUUAAGUGCCAUAACGAGCGCAACCCUUGCCACUAGUUACUAACAGGUAAAGCUGAGGACUCUGGUGGGACUGCCAGCGUAAGCUGCGAGGAAGGCGGGGAUGACGUCAAAUCAGCACGGCCCUUACAUCCGGGGCGACACACGUGUUACAAUGGCGUGGACAAAGGGAAGCCACCUGGCGACAGGGAGCGAAUCCCCAAACCACGUCUCAGUUCGGAUCGGAGUCUGCAACCCGACUCCGUGAAGCUGGAUUCGCUAGUAAUCGCGCAUCAGCCAUGGCGCGGUGAAUACGUUCCCGGGCCUUGUACACACCGCCCGUCAAGCCAUGGGAGUCGGGGGUACCUGAAGUCCGUAACCGAAAGGAUCGGCCUAGGGUAAAACUGGUGACUGGGGCUA